GACGAACGCUGGCGGCACGCUUAAAACAUGCAAGUCGAACGUGAAGCCCGGGCUUGCCCGGGUGGAAAGUGGCGAACGGGUGCGUAACACGUGAGCAACCUGCCCCGAAGACCGGGAUAACACCGGGAAACCGGUGCUAAUACCGGAUGCCUUCACCAUGUCGCAUGGCGAGGUGAAGAAAUGGAUUCCGCUUCGGGAUGGGCUCGCGGCCUAUCAGCUUGUUGGUGGGGUAAUGGCCUACCAAGGCAACGACGGGUAGCUGGUCUGAGAGGAUGUCCAGCCACACUGGGACUGAGACACGGCCCAGACUCCGACGGGAGGCAGCAGUUAGGAAUCUUGCGCAAUGGGCGAAAGCCUGACGCAGCGAUGCCGCGUGCGGGAUGAAGGCCCUCGGGUCGUAAACCGCUUUCAGCAGGGACGAUUAUGACGGUACCUGCAGAAGAAGCCCCGGCCAACUACGUGCCAGCAGCCGCUGUAACAC
rnacentral:rRNA from 1 species